rnacentral:lncRNA from 1 species
UUUUAAAAAGAAAUAUUUUGGGAUACAGGAAUUGAAGAAAGGGUGUUAAAGUUCAGUUCAUAUAAAAGUAUAGAAAAUUAGAAAAUGCACUUAAAAUGGUGAAUAGCAAUUAUACUCGUAAUAUUAUAUUUUGUAAUUUUUAAAGAUAUUGCACAUUUUCAGUUAAUUAUAGGUUUGGUUUAUAUAAUCUUUUGUGCAGUGUGGAUUUUACUAACUUGUUAGAUCGCAAGGUUAUAGGGCAGGUUUGCUGUGUUUUUUGUGGGAAUAAAUGGGAUCUGUAUGUUUUUUGAGUGGAAAAGCAGUUGUCAGAAUAUUUUAUGAAUAUUUCUGUUUUAUGAUUGUGUAAUGUGUAUUCUGGUUGUAAAAGUUUUGUUAAAUUUGAUGGUUGAAAGACUUGUUAUCUUUGGUUGAAAACUUGAUGAAAUUCGAUUGUUACUGUUACUCUGCAAUGAAUGGCAUUGCUUGUUAUUUAAAUUCAGGUUAUUAUAUAUUUUUUUAUACCAUAAGUGUUCAGUAUAGUAUUUGGAAAUUGGUUACUUCCAUCAAUUGGGUUUUAUUUUAUCAAAUCCUAUCCAGGAAAACUCGAUUUAGUAAUCCCAUUCAUGUCUGUUUAAGAUGACUCUUAAACCGUGAUUUUUUUUUAAUUGAAAGAUUAUUUUCAUCUGUUUUUCCCUGAAGUUAAUAAUACCCUAUAAGUACAUUUCCUUUGGAGAAAAUUAUUCACUAUCUUGAUUGAUAUAUCCUCAAAA